rnacentral:misc_RNA from 1 species
GCUUUGAUUGCCAUGUGUUGCAUUAUUGGCUAUUUAAUAUGCUUGUUGAAAUGUAGUUUUCAUGACACUUAUUCUUUGGUUAUAUAAUUAAUCUUUGAAAUUGAUAUAAGAUUUAGAUAUAAUUAUAUAAAUUUAAAAAGAUUUUGAUUUUUUUUUAUCGAUUAGCCCUCUUGGAAAAUGGUAUGGUUUCUUACAUCUCUAGUUUCUGCACACUUUACCAUAUCAUCUUGGAUGCCUGAACCUUUGCUGGGAACAUCUCUGCUCUUUGAUAGCUGAAAAGGUUUACGAAUCAACUGUUAACUAUACUAUCACCUGUGUAGCAUUCUAUGCUUAUGAUAUAAAAUAUCAGGAUUAACAUGUUCUUGGCAAAUCAAAACUAUACUUAUAUCAAUUUACACUCGAUCAGAAUUUUUGGCCUUAGUGUCAUCAGUGUCACAAUCCAAAGUGUUCUUGGGAAUUCUUACUUCAAGAAAUAUAUCAUUGUUCACAUAUGCCUGGAUUUUCUUCCAAUCUGCAUCUUCUGGGAGCU